rnacentral:tRNA from 1 species
GUCCGUGUGGGCAAACUGGCAAAGCCGCCUGCUUGAGGGGCAGGAGAUUUUGAGGGUUCGACUCCCUCCAUGGACACCA